GUUUAAACGUCUGUUUUAAAAAUUAGAAAAACUACCGCAGAGUUCUUCUUGUUUCAACGCCGUAAAAUGUUAUCAUUUCCGGAAAGAAACGUUCGCUUCCGGCGAACAUGAAACUGAGGAACUUCAGUAUCUUCUAAUGAGCGUCCGCUACGGCGAUACACGCGAAUAAGAUAGGACCAGUUGAGAGAAUAAAAAUGGCAAGUAAAAACAAUCUUUAACUCGUAGCUUUUUUUUUUCAAAUAAUUUUAAUCACACUUGAUGAUUCUCGAUCACGAUCAAGAUGAAUCGAUAUACAGUAGCUCGCGUAACAGUCGAAGUUAGGUUAUAGCCGUUUUCAUUGUAACUGUUGAAUGGUCAACGAAAAUGGCGAAAUGCUGGUGAUCGGAUCUUGCGCAAUAAACGCCACGCUAUGGAACGAGAAAUAUGGCACUGGAUAACCGCAAUCGAUGAACCUAUGGCACCUGUGUUUAUUCAUGCGAUUUGAACGAUAACUUGACACUUUUAUCGUUCAUCUUAUAAUAAUUUUCUUUUUCAUAAGUAAUGUGCUUUCCAUCUACUCUACAAUGUAAGAUUUAAAUACAUACCUGUACGAUAUGCGCGUGUAUGGAAAAAACUGACAGCAGCGACACGGUUGCACUUUAACUAAACACACACAUAUGUAUGGUGUACGUAUUUAUACCUUUUGAUAUGUACAUUUUAGCAUACCAUGAAAGAUUUGUUUAUUCUAUGGUUGGUGGUUGUAAAAAAGAGAUGGACGAAAGAAAGAAAGAAAGACCGUCUCGUUUUAGUCCUGUUAGGGAACUUGUCGGUAAGGCUACCUAGCCGGUUCGCGCCUUAGACGAAUGAUUGUUAACAUCUUGUAAGUUUAGAUUUCUUUUUACAUCGAAAAAGAUUACUGAGAGAACUGUGUUUAAGAGUUUUUAUAAUGGACGCCAUAAAAUGACCAGUUUUCAAUUGGAAGGUAGAUAGUAUAAUAAAGGGGAAUGAACUGGAUAAUGCUGAAGUAAAAGGUUUAAUAUUAAAGUAAUAAUGAAUAGGUGACAUAUGUAGGAAAGGAUAACUAGUGACGAUUAACGAGAUUGUUAUUACAGAUAUCCUGGUAGCAAGUGUAAGGAUCAUUGCUACAAUUUUUAAUGGCCACAUUCAAGUUCGUUAUAGUCGCGUAUACGAAAUAAGGAGAUUCUGGUUUAGUAAAAUUGAGAACAUCCGUAUCGUUACGAAUAAAAGCUGUUAAUAGUUAGCUGCAUAAUCAUGUUUUGUCAUUGAACGAAGUAUAGUAAGAGGAUGUGCUGUGAUAUUCAUGGAACUUUGAACUACUUAUUAAUAUUGAUUAUUACGUUAAUGAACAUCCUUUAAUUCUUCAGUAGGUUUACUCUGACUACUUUUACAUACUCAAUAGUCUGUCUCGAUUUUGAAGUUAUCUAUGGAUGAACUGAAUUUUUCAAUGAAGAUCAAACUAUACGAAAUCAUACUGCAGUUAUCUUUUCUUGCUACCUGCAUAUUCUACGUUAACUGACCAAUGCACAAUUAAAUGUGUUCAACUACAUUUGACUAUACAACAUCGCUGCCAGAUGAAGACUUUAUAAUGAAGCUUUCUUAUUCGACCAUUUUCGACUUAUUUCUGGCAACGGUGACUGAUACUACAUCCUCUAUAAAAUCACUAGGAUAAGGAUGAAGAAUAUAAUUAUCCGCUUCGCGCUUCGGCGCGUUAGACCAAAUUAAAACCUUAAUUACAGUUUAAUUUCAAAACUAAUUCGACAUAAAAAGCAGUCCCGAAUUCGACCAUUGCGCCAUCCAUAUACAAACAACGAAAACUACUCGAUAACAUACCGACAGGUUUACCGAAAGCAGAUAAACAACCAGCGCCAUCUAAUAAAAAUCGGCGAAAUCUACUCGAAAAUUGAUCGAACGAGUUCGGUCAAUAUCGGGUCAGUAUGAUAAUCGUACCUGUUUUACCAGUUCCUCUUUUACCGCAUCUCGCAUAGACUACUGAAAAGACAUAAUUUUGACUCCCUCUGACCAUUUUUUAUAAAUUAAUUAAAAUUAGUACAAGACCGAAACAUCAUUAAAAUAGUUGUAAGAUAAACUUGUAUUGACCUCACGUGCCUUGAUAAAUAAAUCAUUUUA